AAGUCGUAACAAGGUCUCCGUUGGUGAACCAGCGGAGGGAUCAUUAGCGAGUUGCAAAACUCCCAAACCAUCGCGAACAUACCCAUGGUUGCCUCGCCGCUGGCGGCCCCUCGCGGGCCCCCGCGGCGGCGGCCCACCGAACUCUUGCAGUAUUAGGCCUCUCUGAGUACUACUUAUAACAAGUCAAAACUUUCAACAACGGAUCUCUUGGUUCUG
rnacentral:misc_RNA from 1 species